AGCUCUUCAACCUUAAUGUCAAACAGGUAUUAAGAUGGUGUUUGAGGUCUAAAACAUGGAUAAAAGGCACUUAUAAUUCUUUUUUAUUUCAACAUAAGCUUCAAAGGGUACGCUUCUAUUCUAACAUGUCAGUACUGUAAUCUUUGAAUUUGUCUAGUGGAAAUCUUUUAAUUUAUCUUCGUCCUUGACUAUAUCACAUGUUGAUGUUCAUUAUCUGACGGCCAAGAAGAACCAACUGUAUUUUUUUUAGAUAAAUUACUUUUUCAUCUUUAAGUUAUGUUAAAAUUAGCAUAUAUCCCCUAAUUUUUUGAUAAUUAAAAUAAUUAAUUUUUAAAAAUUCAGGUCAUAUAUGUUAAUUUCGACAUAAAGGUGCAUAGUGAUUUUUUUUUCUUUUUAAUUCUUUUAGCAUUUUGAAACUUUCCCACUUUAUCUUUGGUGGCAUUAUCUUGUCUCUUAGAAAUUGAUUUUCUCUUGUCGAUGCUGACA
rnacentral:misc_RNA from 1 species